ensembl:lncRNA LINC02346 long intergenic non-protein coding RNA 2346
GCUGAUGCAUCGCAGUGUCCACAUAUGCAGGGAGGCUGGUUUCCUAGGAAGCCUCCCAAUGAGGAAAUUGUUGGGAAUGUGCUGCAAGGCGCUGCCUCGCUCUGGAGCCAGACGAGAGGCCGGAGCAUCCGCCCCAACAUGGCUGGCUGUGUGAGCCUCAGGAACGCUGGCAGCUCUGCAAGACUCUCUGCCAUCUGCAAAAUGUGGCCCAAAAACUACUUAAAAAUUAAUCAUAUCAAAACAAGAGCAUCCAUGAACCAACUUCUGAGAAUUGCUGUUGCUGAGAAAGGCCUAGUGAGCCCCUGUUUCCUCAGGCCACCUUCCUCUUCCUCCCAUUGCCAAGGGCUCCUGUCGCCCCCGUCUGCGUUCUCCUGCCUGGCGCUCUGUCACCUCCUGUGGAGGCCCCACGUGUUCAUCUGAGGGCUGCUGCUGCCCUUCCAGUAUUAUCCACACCUGCCAUUAUUACUGGGUCUUGCUCUCUGACAAAGGGGCUACAGCGCUCCUUCCUGGUACACAUGCAGCCCUCCUGCCCUUGCUCAAGGACCGCACCUCAACAGGGCACCUGCUCUCAUCUGGCCAUCGCCUCGGCAUAGGUAGCUCAAGAUAGAUGUUCAGCCCCAAGCCUCAUGGCUGACUAACCCUGUGGAACUUAAAAGUUCAAAGACAGGGAUGCCUGGAUUCUGUCUCUGCCUCUGCACGUGUGUCUGUGCAGGCAUCCGAGCUGACCGGCCAGCUUCCCGCUGGUGGAGGUGGGAGGCAUAGGCUGCUUCUACACGCCCAAAGCCUACCCACUACAGAGUUACUUGCAGUCACACAUGCUGACUAAGGGAGGAGAGCAACUCCAAUCAAACGAAGCUAAGGAAGAUAGCACACAAACUGGCAAGAAAUUCCUGAGAGUCUCACCCUGUUACCCAGACUGGAGUGAACUGGCACAAUCUCGGCUCACUGUCACCUCCACCUCCCAGGUUCAAGACAUUCUCCUGCCUCAGCCUCCUGAGUAGCUGGGAUUACAGAGGAGGAAAAUGAGCUGCAGAAGGAUCAAAUGACCUGCCUGAGGUGCCCUAUCUGUUGGCACAGGCCAGAGCACAUGGUGGAUGCAGGGGCACCCCCUUCCCUUCUCCUCCCCUCCGGCUCUUUGCUGACAGGAUUCUCUCUUGCCUUCUCUGAUGGUACCUGUGCUACGUGCCACAUCCUUUCCCUCAAUGAAUUUCAGGCAGUGGAAGGGGCCGCAGAAGUUCCUUGACUCAUGAGGCGAGGCAUUCAGCGGCCUCGUGACACCUCCCAGGAUCUGCAGUCAUUGGGCUGCACUUGCCAAUAGCAACACCUGGCAAAAAUAGCUAAGAAGCAGAGCGGCCUGGGCUCAGGAGCUGAGCAACCCCUGACUGGCCAGAUGGAGACUGUGUUGAGCUCUGCCCAAGCCCUGUGAUCCUGGAAAACAGUGAAGUUAAGGAGCCAUCUGCAUUCUAGGGAAUGGCCCACUGCAAAAAAUAGCCUUCCUUAUAGGACGUAGAGGACUCAUGAUGUCCCCUCAUUUAUGAUGAGCCAACACACAGCCCUUCCAAAUUCCGAUUCUUUGCUUCAUAACUGAUGAGCUGUUUUGUUCCCACUGGUCAAUCGGAACAACAUUCUUGCUAACCAGAUUUUGGUUCAGCUCUUCUCCCUCCCCAUGUACCUGCCCUGUGUCCUGUCCUCAUCCUGAGCCAGCACACACCCCUCCUUAGUAGCUCCUCCUGCAGCAGGCUGACCUCGGACUCUCCCUGAUCCAUUGUCCAAAUAUAUCACCCUUUCACCCUACAUCCUCACACCCCAUUCUUUCUAGUUUUGUUCAUUCCUCCCUGUGAAAGAUGAACCCUCUUUGCCUAACCCCGGACCUGCUUGCAGACUGCUAUGAUGGCCAGAGUGUCCCCCCUACUGCAAGAGUCCCUUCUGUCCCUUGCAACAUCUUUUAAAUAAAAUCUCUCUUUACC